GUGCUCACUUCAACAGCACAUAUACUAAAACUGGAAUGGUACGGAGAAGAUCAGUAUGGCCCCUGCGCAAGGAUGACAUGCAAAUUCGUGAAGUGUUCCGUAUUUUU
rnacentral:snRNA from 1 species